CCCGUACUCGGGAAAUGUAAACAUGACACGGUUUUGUCAUGCUUAUGCCUUCUUUCACGAUGUCCUGUGCAAUAUUGAGGUCAGCUUCACCAUUCGAAAUUUUUACAGUUAAUCAAUAAUACGAAGGACUUGCAUUUCAAGAUCUCAGAUGCAUGCAAACACUUACAGAAAUUGCUCCUUGGGAGUAAUUCCCAGGAAUCUGAAGAGUUCUACAGUGGAUGGAGUCUUUGGCUGCCCUGGACAAGCUGGUGAAAACUGGGGGGUGGAGGGAAGGAGGCGAAUGGAAUCCACUGAAAUUGCAAACACAUCUUGUACAAAACACCAUAUAGUGCUGAUGUUUUCAAAGUGGUAAAAAUCUAGUGACUGCAAUCCAUUCAUCUUUCUAUUAAACUUCAUUUUUUAGUCCCACAUUUAUUUUUACUUUGUAUGUUUGAGAAAAAGAGCUUCAAUUAGUUCACAUGUGACACUAAAUUCUGCAUCACUUCAGUGCUUACACAAGCCUUAGAGUUCAGGUUGACAAUAAGGAACAAUAACUGUCAAAGGUAAUUUCUGGUUUCAGAAAAUUGAUAAUUUAGUCAAUUUGAUGGGUACUGUGGUCAAUUGUUUGACAAAUAAAGUUAUUCAUUACUGCUA